GGUUUCGCGGGACAAAUUUUUUUGGUAGUUCUCCUGAAUUUGAAUUCGUGAGAAAAGAGUGUGAGAAUACUUCGUAGUUGAUACAAUUCAUGAAUUGAUUCGUGUAACUAUACGAUUGGGACUAGUUUAGAUUUGUGAACAAUGUGCACUGCGGAUAGAUUCUCGACUGGCGUUUCGCGCGUCCGUAAUUGACUGUGGUGUCGUGGUGUGCUCUCCUCUUUAAGGACAUGAUGGGACGACGAAGCUGCAGUAAACUGUGCCUACUGUUCGUCGUGUUACUCCUCGCCGCCGUUUUGAAAGGUAAUUAUACGUCUUUACACAAAGAUUUGCUUAAACUACGGCGCCACGACGUUCGCUCGGCCUGACCGGAUUCAUAAAGGCUUUACGAGGUGCGUAAUUAAAGCUGAUUAUCUUAACGGCCAUUGUAACAGUAGAUAUCGUUCCCGUCUUCAGCCUAUAAAUACUUGCGAUAGGCUUUUAAUUGGAAUUCAUGGGCUCGAGUGCAUAGUAUUCCCAUCCGAUAAUCUUCGUUGUAUCGCGCGAUAUCUGGCCCAGACGAAUAUAGCCAAGCUCUGUUUGGUAGCGUAUGUGAUAAACGUAUUUCUCGAGGAGGUUGUUGCACAAUUACGAUAUAUCUUCAGGGUAAAGGUAAUUAACAGUUGAAACAGGUUUUAUUUCUUUCGCUGAUUCCUUCGUCCCAGCGAAAAUUUGAAGGUUGAUGAUGCUCGUAAGUUUGAAUGGGUCUGUCCAUUUGUGGCUAAUCCAUAGCAGUGUGUCGAGUAUUUUUGCAUUAUUUUUAUGCAGUUAAAAAGUGAUAGCAAACAGGUUUUUCACAUACAAGGGGUUUGCUUUAGUUAGGAUAAGAUUCAGAAUGAGUUUAACACGUUCCAUGCAAAGCUGAUAAUCGACAAACUAUCAAUUUAUGGAAUCUAUUUUCUCUUAUAAUAGCUUUCUUCGGUUUUCAAACUUUUUAUGGGCAAAGAAACAAGCUAAAUGAAAGUUUUCACGUUAUCAAUAUCACUGUAGCUGCGUCGGGAUAAAGAAUUAGUCACACGAAGGGUUCAAAUGUUUUCUCGUGGUAAGAUAUUGACUUCAAUUUUAGAUAAUCGAUAUUGGUGUUAGAUAUCUUUCUAUAUGGAAUUCUCUAUCUUCUAAAGAUAAGCAAUUCAUCUUAUAAGUUCCAAUUGCUAGAAAACUUUUCCUUCUAUAAAAAAAGUAUCUCGAACGAGAGUUACUGGUACUGUCAGAUCUUUCACAAGAUUAUUUGAAACGCAAUAAAAAAUUCCCCUAAAUUAAAAGA
rnacentral:misc_RNA from 1 species